CCUGCAAGAUGUGUGGAAAGUCAAGAGGAGCCCAGCCCAACGGUUGUUUUUGACUGGUGACUCUUCAUGCUACUUGUCAUGAUUAUGCCUACCCAGGUAAGAGAGGUACUCCUUUCUGCCUGGAAAAGUUCCUAUGUGGCCUGGAAGAGCAAAUCGCUGUUGAAGUUCAGCAUUUCUGGAGGUCUCAUUGGCUGACUGAGAUCCGUGGAGAUUCAUCAUGGCAUUCCAGGUCUCUGUCAGGGAUUGCUCUUCGUGAGGAGGCGAUGCUGACCCGUGUUGGCUCUGUCAUUAUGUGGACCUGGGUGUUGUUCUUAGUGGCAGAUGCACUCGAUACCAACGAAAGGGAUCUGGAUUAGGCUGAGCUGUGAACUAACUGCUUCAAGAUUCUGAAGCUUAUGCAUCUCACUUCUUUGAAAUCCUUAGCACUCUGGUGUGGUCUCUUCCUCUCCUCAUUACCAAGGAAGCAGGGUUCUCACUCUGGGGCAGCUGCCAUGAACGAAGUCUGGCGAUUCUGAGACCACCACGCUGGAGAGGCCACAUGUGGGUUCUCUAGUCAACAACUCCAGCUGAGCUCUUAGCCCACAGCCAACAUCAACUCCGGCCACAAGAAUGAGCUGUCUUGGAUGCCCAGUCUUCAGAUGACGGCAACCCCAGCCAACAUCUGUCUACAUCUGCAUGAGAAACUCCAGGCAAGAACUUCUCAGCUGAGUCCUUCUCAAAUUUCUGACCCACAAAACCAUGAGCAAGAAAGAAGAUAGGGGAUGUCUACGGACCCAUACAACCAACACCCUCUGCCACGACUGCUUGACUAAAGAAAACUUCUCUUUCUUGCUACCACCAAAGA